GUUCCCAAUGAUGCGUAUACCAACCAUGCUAAUGCUGAGGUCAUUUGCUGAAGAACUCAUUAUGUUUUUUUUGAGGGAACU